CCGAGUAGAAGCUAAAGGAGCUUGGGGGCGAAGGCCCCAUAUAAAUGAGGUCACAAGAAGAAAACUGUUCACAAGGUUGAAGCAUCGCCAGUCCGCCCUUAUGACUAAGCACCAAGGCUGCCAUACUUGUGGCCACAAAAUCAUGGUAUAAAUCGAAGUGAUGGUUCCUCAAGCCUAGAUAUCAAUCAUGAAGAUUUUGGACAAUUCCUAGGUGCCAUAUUUGUGGUCUCAAGAUCAUGGUAUAAGUAGAAGUAAUGG